GGGGCCGUAGCUCAGAUGGGAGAGCGCGUCGUUCGCAAUGACGAGGUCAGGGGUUCGAUUCCCCUCGGCUCCACCA
rnacentral:tRNA from 5 species